GGUCCCCUUCCACACUGUGGAAGCUUUGUUCUUUUGCUCUUUAAGAUAAAUCUUUGCUGCUGCUUACUCUUUGGGUCCAUGCUGUUCUUCAUGAGCUGUAACACUCAUGGCGAGGGUCUGCAGCUUCACUCUUGAAGCCAGCAAGGCCACAAACCCAUGGGGAGGAACGAACAAUUCCAGACGCGUGCUGCCUUUAAGAGCUGUAACACUCACUGCGACAGUCCGUAGCUUCAUUCUUGAAGUCAGCAAGACCAAGAACCCACCAAUUUUGGACACAUUUUGGCAACCACAAAGGGCCUAUCGUCUAUUGCCAAGCAGUGAGACUAUCGUCAAGUGAUGAGACCAUAGCCUAUCACCAAGCAGCCGCAAAAUGCAUGGCACAGGGAAGGGUUUGACAACUUUUUGAUGGAUGAACAAAGAAGAUUCAAGCCACUUGUCAACAAGCCCAAAGUGAUUGAAAGUGGAAGCGUUUACCCACACGCUCACGCAGAAAAUGACAGGAAAUCAUCCAGAGACACUUGUGACAGAGAUGAGAACUGUCACUGUUGAGAGGUGCUGCGGAGAUGGGUGUCCACUGGUGACUGUUGGGAGGCCAACUGCGGGGAUGUGGCGCCAUUAGCUCAAGAGUGGGCAACUCCCUACCACGCUGGCGGCGCCGGCCAGGACAGGACAAGCCUACUGCAGUGACACGGCGCCCUGAUCCCUGACCCCACGUAAGCUUGGCCAGGAGCUGUGGCUCAUGUCAAUAAUCGCAGCAGUUUGGGAAG